AUGCAGAUAUUUGUGAAGACCCUCACCGGCAAGACCAUCACCCUUGAGGUUGAGUCAUCGGACACCAUCGACAACGUCAAGGCGAAGAUUUAGGACAAGGAGGGUAUCCCCCCGGACCAGCAGCGCCUCAUCUUUGCUGGCAAGCAGCUCGAGGAUGGUCGUACCCUUGCUGACUACAACAUCCAGAAGGAGUCCACUCUCCACCUGGUGCUCCGCCUUCGUGGUGGUAUGCAGAUCUUCGUCAACACCCUGACGGGCAAGACCAUCACUCUGGAGGUGGAGUCUUCGGACACCAUCGACAACGUGAAGGCAAAGAUCCAGGACAAGGAGGGCAUCCCCCCGGACCAGCAGCGCCUCAUCUUCGCCGGCAAGCAGCUCGAGGAUGGCCGCACUCUUGCUGACUACAACAUCCAGAAGGAGUCCACCCUCCACCUGGUGCUCCGCCUUCGUGGUGGUAUGCAGAUCUUCGUCAAGACCCUGACGGGCAAGACCAUCACUCUGGAGGUGGAGUCCUCGGACACCAUCGACAACGUGAAGGCGAAGAUCCAGGACAAGGAGGGCAUCCCCCCGGACCAGCAGCGUCUCAUCUUUGCUGGUAAGCAGCUUGAGGAUGGCCGCACUCUGGCAGACUACAACAUCCAGAAGGAGUCUACCCUUCACUUGGUGCUUCGCCUGCGUGGUGGCCAGUAAGUGCCUGGUCACGGUGUGGCUUCUGUUGGGUUCACAGGUCUUGUGUCGUCGGUGUCCUCCAAUAGGUGCGCUUGUCUGGUCGUGUCGUUGUUUCCAUCACUGAUCUGUUCGGUUGUGUCGAUUACUGAUCUGUUCGGUUGUGUCGAUUACUUGCCGUGGCUUUGGAUGGUGAACUAUGAUUAAUAAGGGAGCUCUUAAUAUCGUGCGUAAUUUGUGUCAGUUCUUCA